rnacentral:rRNA from 1 species
AUUGAACGCUGGCGGCAUGCCUUACACAUGCAAGUCGAACGGCAGCAUAGGAGCUUGCUCCUGAUGGCGAGUGGCGAACGGGUGAGUAAUAUAUCGGAACGUGCCCUAGAGUGGGGGAUAACUAGUCGGAAGACUAGCUAAUACCGCAUACAAUCUACGGAUUAAAGUGGGGGAUCGCAAGACCUCAUGCUCCUGGAGCGGCCGAUAUCUGAUUAGCUAGUUGGUGGGGUAAAAGCCUACCAAGGCGACGAUCAGUAGCUGGUCUGAGAGGACGACCAGCCACACUGGGACUGAGACACGGCCCAGACUCCUACGGGAGGCAGCAGUGGGGGAUUUUGGACAAUGGGGGCAACCCUGAUCCAGCAAUGCCGCGUGAGUGAAGAAGGCCUUCGGGUUGUAAAGCUCUUUUGUCAGGGAAGAAACGGUAGUAGCUAAUAUCUAUUACUAAUGACGGUACCUGAAGAAUAAGCACCGGCUAACUACGUGCCAGCAGCCGCCGUAA